rnacentral:rRNA from 1 species
AUCGCGCAUCAGCCAUGGCGCGGUGAAUACGUUCCCGGGCCUUGUACACACCGCCCGUCAAGCCAUGGGAGCCGGGAGCGCUUGAAGUGCGUCGCCGCGAGGCGCGCCCUAGAGCGAGACCGGUGACUGGGGCUAAGUCGUAACAAGGUAAC